CUGUUUAUUCUCUGCCUGCUUUCCUUGUGUCUCUCGUUGUUUCUCUCUAAAUCUCCAUCUUUCCCUCUCUGUCCCUCUCCCCCUCCCUCCUUUCCUCUCUGUCUUUGUAACUCUCCCUCAAUUUUACUCAUUUUAGUGGUUCACUCUUUGGAUCUAGGACCUUGGUCAGCAUGAGCAUUGCACUCACAGAGAGGGUGACACGUUUCCUGAUGCCUGAAAGAGAGAAAUAAGAUGGCCCAGGAGACUCCAGGGCACUCUGCCCACUAAGCAUCUUUUUGUGAGUGAGAGGCCAUUUCUCCAGCUGUCCAUUGCAGCAUUCCACAACCCAGACUGCUGCUGUCCAUGCUGAUUGGUGUUUGAGAGGGCAGAAUGGACCCCUGAUUCACUUCCCAUCAGGAACACUUGCCACCAGGAAACCCCCUCAAUCUACUCUUCCCUUGCCCUUUAAGACCUUCUAUUUCAGGGUCCUCCCCCUGCCAGAUUGAAAGAUGACAGACUGAGGACAAGCCCUAAGGGGACAGAGAGUCUAAGGCUCCAUGUUCCAACUCUGCAAGCCCCACCUCAGCUCAACUCAACACCUUAGACCUUC
rnacentral:lncRNA from 1 species